UACAGAGGUCCCGAGCGUUGUUCGGAUUCACUGGGCGUAAAGGGUGCGUAGGUGGUGAGGAAAGUCGGAUGUGAAAUCUCCAAGCUCAACUUGGAAAUGGCAUUGGAAACUACCUUGCUGGAGGUUUGGAGGGGGACUGGAAUACUUGGUGUAGCAGUGAAAUGCGUAGAUAUCGGGAGGAACACCUGUGGCGAAAGCGGCUCACUGGACCACAACUGACGCUGACGGCACGAAAGCUAGGGAGCAAACAGG
rnacentral:rRNA from 1 species